CGUGAGAUGUUGGGUUAAGUCCCGCAACGAGCGCAACCCCUAUCUUUAGUUGCCAUCAGGUUGGGCUGGGCACUCUAGAGAGACUGCCGGUGACAAGCCGGAGGAAGGUGGGGAUGACGUCAAGUCCUCAUGGCCCUUAUGUCCUGGGCUACACACGUGCUACAAUGGCGGUGACAGUGGGAAGCUAGGUGGUGACACCAUGCUGAUCUCUAAAAGCCGUCUCAGUUCGGAUUGCACUCUGCAACUCGAGUGCAUGAAGGUGGAAUCGCUAGUAAUCGCGGAUCAGCACGCCACGGUGAAUACGUUCCCGGGUCUUGUACACAC
rnacentral:rRNA from 1 species